GGCUCACUCAGGCCGGGGAGGAGGGAGGGGCACGGAGUGCGGGGCGGGCCUGCGGCAGCAGAGGCCGCCGUGACGUUGCACCAGCCUGAGGCGCGCCGUGCGUUCUCCCGGGGAAGUUGCCCCUGGAUCCUGGGACCCUGGCAGUGGCGGGCUGCACAGGCUCCCCGCAAGGGGGGUGUGGAUAGUGACCUGUGCUCGCACCCAGGCUUCUUGGUGGCGGCAGCAGCAGCCUUAGCGUCUCAUGCGCGUCCCUGGGGUCUGCGCUUUUAGCCAUGGCUCGCGCCCGUCUCUGGAGCUCUUUUAAGCAGCGCUCUUAAUCCCCUCUCCUCGCGCACCAGGAAACAAAGAGGGAAGAAAAAGUCUCUUGCCUUUUCGGCAGGUCCAGACUUUUCCCCGGAAUCCCUCCCGGCCAGCCGUGGUGCACUAACCCCCUGCAGGCUGUGUUCACGCCGCCAACCCCAGUCCUCUCCCGGCGCUCCGACCGAAGCCCGAGCCUCAACUCCCAGCCCCGCCCGCCCUGGCAGGUGAGCAGACAAGCCUCUCGGACUGGUCUGCUUUUGAGCUGCUCUUCUCAAGGUGGCCCCAGUCAAGACCAGGAAUCAUAUAAGCUUCUUGAUUAUAUGAACUUCAUACCCACCAAACCUGGAUUCAUCCUGACCCAGCCCUAUGGAUUCUUCCUCCGUGGUGUUUCUUGACUCUGCUCCAUCUUUCUGUUUACUGCAGAACAUCACCUUUCUUCAGACACCAUUUCAUCUUGUGGUGGUCCAGCAGAAAGUCGUAUCUGAAGAGAAUCCAGAACUCCAGCAUGUCGGUGCAGUAGUCGGUCAGAGCCAAUGAACACAUGCUCUGCUGUUGUGCAUCAAGCUCUCCAGGUCCCACUAUUUUCUGUCUCGUGGAUGCCGGGAAGCAGCACCACAAGCCACAUGUCCCUUCGGGGAUGAAGGUGUGACUCUCCCCACUGCUGACAGAAAGCCCUCGGGGAUUGCCUCUCCUAAAGGGAGCUGCUUUGUCCAAGGUCGUUUCCUGAAACACGUUCCUCCAAUUCCUACACAACAUUGCCAAAGACAUUACCAUUCAAGACGGCAUCGGUUGCUUAUUGAAAACCUUUUGCUCCCUCACCACCACUUAAGUAAACGUGACCAAAAUGUGGCAUUCAAUGCUAUUCUCAAUCUGCCCCAGUCCCCCUUUCCCAGCUCCACUGUGCCACCAGGUAAGCCCACUUCUAUAUCCUUUAUGAACUGGAAUCAAAAAAGAGCUCUAGGGCUUCCCUGGUGGCACAGUGGUUGAGAAUCCGCCUGUCAAUGCAGGGGACACGGGUUUGAGCCCUGGGCCGGGAAGAUCCCACAUGCCUGCCACAGAGCAACGAAGCCCGGCGCCACAACUACUGAGCCUGCGCUCUAGAGCCCUCGAGCCACAACUACUGAAGCCCGUGCACCUAGAGCACGUGCUCCGCAACAAGAGAAGCCACCGCAAUGAGAAGACUCCGCACCGUAAUGACGAGUAGCCCCCGCUCGCCGCAACUAGAGAAAGCAGGAGUGCAGCAAUGAAGACCCAAUACGCCAACAAUAAAUUAAUUAAUUAAAAAAAUAGGAUAUAGAAGUAUUAUUCAACCCAAAAUGCAAAAUGACAAAAUAUAAAUGAAAAAGUGAAAUGCAAGCAUGCUUUUAUUUAACAGUGGUCGUCAAUAUCAGUGAGCCAGAAGAGUAAACAGAAGCAUAGCUCCUGAGCCCGAUUAUUCUCCAUCGCAGUAAGAUGUGUAUAAAAAAGGAGGGGAUGGUGCUGGCCUUCGAGUUGAUUUUUUAAGAAAUGCAGUAGACUUGUACAUUUGUGAAACAAUUGGGCAACGUCAGAGAUACAUUUUGUGGUAUACUGUGUCCUCAGCAAGCAAAUUGAUCUCUAGGGGAGAGAAUACCUAUAGUGCCUUAAACAUGGCUGCAAGUUCUUUGCCACUCCUCUCAUUAAGAGGUGGAUCUAUAUCCUUUCACCCUGAGUCUGCGCUGGCCCUCUGACUUUCCUCAUCCAAUAGAAAGCAGCAGAAGUGACACUGUGUAACUUCCAAGGCUGAGCCUGGAGAGGCCUGCAGUUUCUCUUGUGUGCGAGAAAUGCUCCCUUUUGGAAUCCAGACUAUGCCAUGAGACACACAAGCCAUGUGGAAAAACCGAAUGGAGAAGAACUAAGGUGCUCUGGUCAACAGUCCCAGAUGAGCGUCCAGCCACCAGCCAGUGCCAGCUGCCAAGCACACUGGUGAGGCAACUGAGAAGUUCCACCCUGGUGAAGUCCCCACCCAGCACCACACAGAGCAGAAGAAACAUCCAGCUGAGCCUGGUUAACGCUCAGAAAUGUGAAAGACAGUAAAUGGCUGUUAUUUUAAGCCACCAAGUGCUGGUGUGGUUUGUUUUCCAGCAGUAGAUAACCAAAACAAACCCUGAUUCAGAGCCAGGCAGGGUGAAUUUACUGGAAAGUGAGACCAAUUCAAAAUUCUGCUCAGCCCUAGGAAUACCAAAGUGGGACAGAAAUAAGACUUUCUGCCUCCCAGGCAAUUCCCAAGAGAAAGAGCUCAGUUGGCUGUGGAAGAAUUAAUAAAACAAUGCAGUAAAGUGGGAUAAACUGCUUUGUCAGCAGUGUCACUGGCAAAGUGUACAAAACCUAUCACGCCGUUAAAGUAAGCAAUCUAAUUACUACAAUAUGUAUGAAGUGAAAUAAUCAACUUGCAGUUUGAUGAGAAGAGUAUAUAAAAUCAGUAGCUGGAAACAGCACGGUGAAUCAGUAAAGUUUAUGAAAAUGGGAUUUGUUUUGUGUGACUGUGAGUAACAAAUGCACAACAUGUCUUGCUCUUAGGAAACGAGGAGAGGGCCCUCUGUGGUCUGAGGCCACAUUCAGGAUAAAGGGUUGAUGUAUAUCUAUCUACUGCUUGAUUUAUUUUGCUUACAUCCAGGGCUGUUGGGUUUAUUCUAAUUUUUUAGGUUUCGCAUUUGCCCAGACACCUGUCACUUGCCCAUUUUGCCUCCAGCCCAGUAGACUCCUACUUAUCAAUGUCCAGUUAAUACCACCUCUGUGAAGCCUUCCUUUAUUCCUCCUACCAAUAAUUAAUCAUUUUCCUUAGUGUGUCCCAAUGACACCUUUUACAAGUUGUUAAAACAGCACAUAUCACCUUGUUUCAAUUUCUCAUUAUGUGAGCUUACUGGGGGCAGAACUAAGCCCUAUUCAGGUUGGUAUGCCCUCUAAUGGGUAAGACCUGGUCCUGGGCAUGUAGAAAGGCUACACAGUGGGUAUUCAGUAUUCAAAUGGAUGUGGAAGGACAGAAAGAAGGUUAGAUGGGGGUGGGGGGUAGAUUCCCCUUAAAUGGUGACUUAUGGAAAAUCCUAAGGGUUGAAAAGAUAGGAAAGGAAAUUAUGCAAUGGCUUGAGAAUUUCUCUACGGGAAGGGUCUAAGCAUGGGAGUACUGUUGGAAGGAGAGGUUAGAGAGUCUGCUUAGAAGCACACUCUUAAUUUAGACUUCAUGUUUAUUUGGGGUGGAUUUGGGGCUCUGUUUGAGGCUAUGGAAAAGCUAAAGCCACCCCUUGGUACAACCACUGAAAAACGUGCUUGCAAAAUAAGUUUGAUUGGUUCUCAAAAGCUUACUGGUUGGUGGCAACAUCUAAUGUGCCCAAAGAAGGCAACUGGGACUGAGAACAAAAUUACCUGAUUGGGGUUUGAAGCUUGACCACUGGGGCAACAGCAAGAAAGCGUCAUGAUUUCACAGCACCGGGCAUAGAGAUCUCUGUAGAUGGGGUCUCUGUCUUCCAAAACUGUUUCUCAACCAUGCCUGGGCUCGCCCCCGUUCCUUGGAGACUUUGAUUUGAGGACAGAGCCCUCAGCAUUUUCUAAAAUCUUUCCGGGUGUUUCUAAUGGACAGUCAGGAUCAGAAACCAUUCAUUGCUCUAGGAGCUUACAUUCAGAUCCAAAUGCAAUGACAGGGACCAUAGUGUUUUCAGGAUACUCUGGCAACAGAAUAAAAACAUUGCCUGCAUAUGAAGAGAGCCACAUUGUAUAUACAUUAAUUGAGCUGACAUUUAUUGAGUGGCUAUGAUGUGCCAGGCCCCAUGCCAGGGGCUGGGAAACAACAAUGUGCAGCGCUCGUGGCGUUUACAUAAGUCUAGUUGGGCUAUUAGACAUUAAAUAAUAAACACAUAUGUAAUUACGAAUUGUGAUGAAUGUUCUGGAGGAAAGGACAAGAUGCUGUGAUACAGGAUAAUCCAGUUUAGGUGGAGUGGGGCAGGAAAGGAAAGCAGAGAGCAAGUCCCAUUUAGGUUGAAACCUCAGAAUACAAUUCAGUGAUAGAUGUGUUUGAGGAGAUGGAGGAUAGCAUUAGGUUGAACCACAUGAAAUUGCUGAGAUUUAACCAUUUAUGACCUACAAAAUGGCAAUUUCAUACGGUUCAACCUAAUAUAAGCAUGUAAUCUGAGCAGGGACCGGGGAGAGAAGGCAUGGGGUGUUCUCCUUUCAUCGUAGCAGGUACAGAUGGCUGCAAGAUUAGAGACAAUUGCAGCCAAGGAGGAAAACCUGCAACCCCACAUUACAAAAGUAGCACUGGAAUUUGAGCAGUAUAUCGAAUGUUUAUAGCAUCCCUUGAUUUUAAAUACCCAUACUUGUUCUCAAAUCACUGAAUCGAUGUUUGGAGAAAAAGCCAAACUUCCGUUAUCUCCCCUCCUUCUAAAAUAGAAGUGGAGAGGGGCUGUUGUUUAAAGUUUGGUUCCUGGGGGCUGUGCAUUUCUGAACAAAUCAGCUGCUCCCAUCACCAGGUAACCACACAGCAGCACACAACAUGGUCCACUUACCAUGACUGCAUAACAAACCUCCCUGAACUUAGUGGUGCAAAACAACCACCAUGUAGUAUGCUCAUGGAUCCCAGGGAUCAAGUAUUGGAAAGGCCACAGUGGGGAUGCUUCUUCUCUGCUCUACCAUGUCUGGGGCCUCAUCUGGGAAGAUUUGGACUACGAGGGGCUGGAAUUGCUGGAAUUGGAGGAUCUAUCUCCCACAUGGGCUCUUCACUCCCUUGUCUGCUACCUGAGCUGGGAUAGGUGGAAGGCUGGCUCAACUGGGACUGUGGGCUGGACUACUGCCCUUGGGCUUCUCACAGUCUGCUAGCUAAGUUCUGAGACGAAGGGUCCCAAGACGGGACCUUUGAAGAGCGAGCAUUUCAAGAAGACCAGAUCAAAGCCAACUGGCCUUUUGACCCUGUUUCAGAAGUCACAACGAAUCCUUUCUGCCACACUCCAUUGAUGGAAACAACAACAAGCUUACUCAUAUCCAAGCAGGGGGAGAGAGGGACAAAAAUUCCACCUCUUGAUGGGAAGACUGUCAAGGUCACAUUGCAGAAGAGCAUGGGGGAUAGGAGAUAUUACUGCAUCCAUCUUUGAAAAUGCAAUCUGCUGUGAAGUGAUUAGAGAGUAACACCCAGAGAAGCCUUCAUGAGGGGCCAGGUAAUGGCUUUGCACAGGAUAGUUGUGCCUGGAAAAAGUGAAGGUGAGGGCGAGCUACCCCUGUUACAAGAAAGAAGUGAUUCCAGCAAAAGGAGUUUCCACAAACAACACUUCUAUUGUCAUAGUGUCUGGUUCUUCUUGAGAGGAUGGAGACACGCACACGCAGUUUAGAGAGAGACAGAGGACUUCUGCUGGCAGAGCCAGAAUUUUGCAAAGCAUGUUAGAGGGAAACAGAGUCUUCCAAAGAAAUCAAAGUCUCAGUUUGAAAAGACCUCUUAAAGAGAACUGCAGAAGCAAUAUCUGAGAUUUAGUGACUGGAGGCAAGAAGCAGAUGUCAAGAUUUAAGACGCCUUAGACUGCAGCCUGGAAGGAAGGAGCCAGGGGGAUAAAUACCCUGACCUUUCUCAACUCCUGCCCUUUGAUCUCCUGCCAGUACCUCCCUUUGGCCAAAGCAAACCAGAAGCCAGAGGGCAGGAAGUCUGGGCCAGGCAGCCCCUGGAGGCCCGCUUUUCCAGGUACAGAGCGGUGUGGACAGCGGUGGAGGUGGAUCCAGAGCACAGACCCUGAAUGAAAGAACACACUCAGAGUCUGUAACCCACACUGUGUGGACACCUGGACCUGGGAGGUCCAAUGUGUACGCCUAACCUAACUAUUACAUUCAAGGUUUGGCCACCGGGAUGAGCACAGCUGGGAUAAGCAUUGUCCUUAUUUUGUGUUACUGAGGCUGAACUCUGUUCACAUACGGGAUUUGUUGGAAUGCUCCUGCAGCAUUAGUACACACAGACAGAGUGAGUGUCUCUGUGUCCCAUGUUAUUUAUUAUAUAAGGCAGGGCAGCGAGGGGGUUGAGAUCCAAGCUCUGGAGUCACACAGCCUGGGUUCAAGUCCUUGCUCUGCCACAGAUUAGUGCAGUAGGUGAGUUACUUAACUUCUCUGUGCUUUAGUCCCCUCAUCCUGAAAGGAGGGAUGAAGAUUACUCUGCAUGGGGUAGUCUAAGGGUAAAAUGAAAUCGUGUGUAUCGAGCACAAUGCUUGACAUGUAGUUUAAGGAUCUGAUAAAUGCUCUUAUUGUUCUCUUGCAACAGAAGCUUUCUGAGGGUCGUUUACAUGCAGAGAGCUCCAUACUUCUUCAAUGCAGUGUGAAGUUGCUUUAACACCCUUUUCAGUGCUAUUUUAAUAACAUGUCUCUUAGUCAUACUUUAACCCUUACCCCCGAUACACUGUCAGGCGGACAAACAUGUAGAACAUUACAGUCACAAUUUAAAAUACGUAU